AAGAAAGAAAAUUAAACUGAAAUGGGAUUUUUUUGUUAAAAAUCAUUUGUAUUUUUUUUCUUACAAAGGGAAGUAAAUUGCUAAGCACCAGUGAAUAUCACUACAUAAUGGAGAUUUUCAUUUUUAUACAAUUUUCAUAAUUAUAAAGAGAAAGAAGGACAAAACACAUGCACACAAAAACAUACAACACGUUAUACUGACAUCUUCAACGUGCAUAAUUGGUUUGAGCCAGCAGCCAGCAGUUGAAAUUGACAUGUGAGAGUUCUUCUAAGUCCCAGAUGCUAGCUGCCAACUGCCUUUUUGUUCUUGUUUCCUUGGAAACGGAGGUUGGUUUUAUGAAAACAAGGGAAUCAGAGAACAGCGAUCAAACACAAGGUUCCUUCAAUGAUGUUCUAUCACAGCCUUCAUGUUUCCCGUCACACUACAUAUGGUCCCAUUGUUUACAGAUUACAAAAAAAAAUCCCUGCUCAGAUGUUAAAACAAGAUGUUUUCUUCACUUUCAAGUGGCAGGCUGACUGCCAAAUUUUACAAUUAGUUAUUCUGUGCAAAGAAAAAAAAAAAGAAGUUUAAUUAUCACAAUUUCUUCUGUUUGGACAUUACUCUGAUGGGCUAUCAACCUGAGGACUGACAGAAGUGAACUCUGGUCCAUGAGAUGGGGAAAGGUUCUUGGGAAGAGAGCUUUUUGUAGGGAGAGGGAAUCAUAAAAAAUAAGGAGAGCAAUGCAUCCUCGCCAGAAAUAGGUACGGCAACAUUAAGGCAAACCAGCCACCUGCCAAUGACGAUGUUUCCCAAUGGCACCGUCUGGCAGACAGAAUUUCACAGUGUUAAACAAUAGUGCUGCACACACCAUGGGCGCACCUAUCAAUGGGUCACUGAUUCUUUAAAAAGAUUUGCUGAUGGUGGUACAGUGAUUAUGGCAGGGCAACAAACGCAGUAAAAAGACUUGCAUUUAGAAGCUAAAUCCUGGGUCACUGCAUGAGCUCAAAGUUGGUCUUCUCAUUCCUUAAAAGAAUUGUUUGGGGGGCUCCUGGGUGGCUCAGGGGAUUAAGCCUCUGCCUUCAACUCAGGUCAUGAUCUCAGGGUUCUAGGUUCGAAUUCCGCAUCGGGCUCUCUGCUUGGCAGGGAGCCUGUUUCC
rnacentral:lncRNA from 1 species